AUUGAACGCUGGCGGCAUGCCUUACACAUGCAAGUCGAACGGCAGCACGGGGCAACCUGGUGGCGAGUGGCGAACGGGUGAGUAAUGCAUCGGAACGUACCUUUCAGUGGGGGAUAACGUAGCGAAAGUUACGCUAAUACCGCAUAUUCUGUGAGCAGGAAAGCAGGGGAUCGCAAGACCUUGCGCUGAUUGAGCGGCCGAUGUCAGAUUAGCUAGUUGGUGAGGUAAAGGCUCACCAAGGCGACGAUCUGUAGCGGGUCUGAGAGGAUGAUCCGCCACAGUGGGACAGAGACACGGUCCAGACUCCUACGGGAGGCAGCAGUGGGGAAUUUUAGACAAUGGGCGCAACCCUGAUCCAGCCAUGCCGCGUGAGUGAAGAAGGCCUUCGGGUUGUAAAGCUCUUUCGGCCGGGAAGAAAUCGCACGGGCUAAUACCCUGUGUGGAUGACGGUACCGGAAUAAGAAGCACCGGCUAACUACGUGCCAGCCGCCGCGGUAACAC
rnacentral:rRNA from 1 species